UGCUGUUGUCCGCUGUCGCUGCGCGCUCUGUAACAAAUUGAAGCGGGCCGGUUGGAGGCGUUUGGUGUGUGCACAGUUUCUGUGUAAUUUACGAGGUUUUAUUCUCAACCCAUCAUGGUUGCAAAGCAGCGCAUGAGGAUACAGAAUGAGAAGGCGGGGAAGAACAUAACGUUGAGGGGCAACGUUCCAAAAUCAUUGAAACCUGCAGAAGACAAAUACCCUGUUGGACCCUGGCUCUUGGCUCUCUUCAUCUUUGUUGUUUGUGGAUCAGCCAUCUUCCAGAUCAUCCAGAGCAUCCGCAUGACGUAAUGCACUCUGUUCGGCGUGGGAAUCAUUCCAUCCUGCAAAACUGAAGUGUGUUCUCUUGUGUAUUUAUUCGGCCGCUCCGGACCACGUGUUAACGGGUGGCCGAGAUAUAUAUGGGUUUUAUUGCGAUAUGGUGGGAAGGUAAUUUGUGACGUUUCCGCUCGUGUGUAUUUUUUAUAACGAUGCACAAAUAAAAUGAAGCGCAGUUGG